rnacentral:rRNA from 1 species
GAUGAACGCUGGCGGCGUGCCUAAUACAUGCAAGUCGAGCGAACAGACGAGGAACUUGCUCCUCUGACGUUAGCGGCGGACGGGUGAGUAACACGUGGAUAACCUACCUAUAAGACUGGGAUAACUUCGGGAAACCGGAGCUAAUACCGGAUAAUAUAUUGAACCGCAUGGUUCAAUAGUGAAAGACGGUUUUGCUGUCACUUAUAGAUGGAUCCGCGCCGCAUUAGCUAGUUGGUAAGGUAACGGCUUACCAAGGCAACGAUGCGUAGCCGACCUGAGAGGGUGAUCGGCCACACUGGAACUGAGACACGGUCCAGACUCCUACGGGAGGCAGCAGUAGGGAAUCUUCCGCAAAGGGCGAAAGCCUGACGGAGCAACGCCGCGUGAGUGAUGAAGGUCUUCGGAUCGUAAAACUCUGUUAUUAGGGAAGAACAAAUGUGUAAGUAACUAUGCACGUCUUGACGGUACCUAAUCAGAAAGCCACGGCUAACUACGUG